UUUAGAACUACAUUCAAUAUAAACAGGCGCCCCGAUUAGCUUUCUCAGUUCCUCCCCCUGAGCUGUAGUAAUGGGCACUGCACCAGGGUAAUCUAUAAAGAAUUGCUUAUCAUCUCGGAGAUCAAGCUUAGUCCCAACAAGAAUAAUUGGUACUCCAGGUGCAUAAUGCCUCAAUUCAGGAAUCCACUUCUUUGCAACAUUUUCAUAACUGGCCUUGCUAAUGA
rnacentral:misc_RNA from 1 species